rnacentral:rRNA from 1 species
GACGAACGCUGGCGGCGUGCUUAACACAUGCAAGUCGAACGAAAAGAGGGAAAGAGCUUGCUCUUUCCGGAAUUGAGUGGCAAACGGGUGAGUAACACGUAAACAACCUGCCUUCAGGAUGGGGACAACAGACGGAAACGACUGCUAAUACCGAAUAAGUUCCAAGAGCCGCAUGGCCCAUGGAAGAAAAGGUGGCCUCUACCUGUAAGCUAUCGCCUGAAGAGGGGUUUGCGUCUGAUUAGCUGGUUGGAGGGGUAACGGCCCACCAAGGCGACGAUCAGUAGCCGGGCGGGGGGGAUGAACGGCCACACUGGAACGGAGACACGGCCCAGACCCCUAGGGGAGGCAGCAGUGGGGAAUCUUCCGCAAUGGGGGAAAGCCGGACGGAGCAACGCCGGGUGGGUGAUGACGGCCUUCGGUUUGAAAAACUCUGUGACCCGGGAGAAAAAGGCAGGGGGCGAAAAAAAAACUGCAUGGAGGGUACCGGAAAAGAAAGCCACGGCUAACCACGU